GACGAACCGUACGAACGUUAUUCGGAAUUACUGGGCUUAAAGGGUGCGUAGGCGGCGCGGAAAGUAGGGUGUGAAAUCCCUCGGCUCAACCGAGGAACUGCGCUCUAAACUACCGUGCUCGAGGGAGAUAGAGGUGAGCGGAACUGAGGGUGGAGCGGUGAAAUGCGUUGAUAUCCUCAGGAACACCGGUGGCGAAAGCGGCUCACUGGAUCCUCUUCUGACGCUGAGGCACGAAAGCUAGGGUAGCGAACGGG
rnacentral:rRNA from 1 species